rnacentral:rRNA from 1 species
UUGACCUCGGAUCAGGUAGGGAUACCCGCUGAACUUAAGCAUAUCAAUAAGCGGAGGAAAAGAAACCAACAGGGAUUGCCCUAGUAACGGCGAGUGAAGCGGCAACAGCUCAAAUUUGAAAUCUGGCGCAAGCCCGAGUUGUAAUUUGUAGAGGAUGCUUCUGGGCAGCGGCCGGUCUAAGUUCCUUGGAACAGGACGUCAUAGAGGGUGAGAAUCCCGUAUGCGACCGGCUUGCACCCGUCACGUAGCUCCUUCGACGAGUCGAGUUGUUUGGGAAUGCAGCUCUAAAUGGGAGGUAAAUUUCUUCUAAGGCUAAAUACCGGCCAGAGACCGAUAGCGCACAAGUAGAGUGAUCGAAAGAUGAAAAGCACUUUGGAAAGAGAGUUAAAAAGCACGUGAAAUUGUUGAAAGGGAAGCUCACGCAGCCAGACUUGUCGGCGGUGUUCCGCCGGUCUUCUGACCGGUCUAUUCGCCGCCGGCAGGCCAGCAUCACUUGGGAGCGCCGGAUAAAGGCGUGCGGAAUGUAGCCCCUCGGGGCAUUAUAGCCGCGCGCACAAUACGGCGCCUCCCGAGUGAGGUCCGCGCUUCGGCUAGGAUGCUGGCGUAAUGGUUGCUUGAGGCCCGUCUUGAAACACGGACCAAGGAGUCUAACAUCUAUGCGAGUGUUCGGGUGUCAAACCCCUACGCGGAAUGAAAGUGAACGGAGGUGGGAACCGCAAGGUGCACCAUCGACCGAUCCUGAUGUCUUCGGAUGGAUUUGAGUAAGAGCAUAGCUGUUGGGACCCGAAAGAUGGUGAACUAUGCCUGAAUAGGGUGAAGCCAGAGGAAACUCUGGUGGAGGCUCGCAGCGGUUCUGACGUGCAAAUCGAUCGUCAAAUUUGGGUAUAGGGGCGAAAGACUAAUCGAACCAU